UAGUUUAAGUCGAAAACUUUAAAAACAUCUGCAGUUUGGCUUGAAUUAAAAGUUGGAUCUGGAAUACCAAACUCUAAAUCUCAUUUCCCUGACCGGGAAUUGAACCCGGGCCGCAGCGGUGAGAGCGCCGAAUCCUAGCCACUAGACCAUCAGGGACACAAUUAUGCAAAUGAAGUCAUAGUUUACGUCGAAUACUUUAAAAACAUCUGCAGUUUGGCUUGAAUUAAAAGUUGGAUCUGGAAUUCCAAACUCUAAAUCUCAUUUCCCUGACCGGGAAUUGAACCCGGGCCGCGGCGGUGAAAGC
ensembl:lncRNA